rnacentral:rRNA from 1 species
UGGGGAAUUUUGGACAAUGGGCGAAAGCCUGAUCCAGCAAUGCCGCGUGUGUGAAGAAGGCCUUCGGGUUGUAAAGCACUUUUGUCCGGAAAGAAAUCCUUGGCUCUAAUACAGUCGGGGGAUGACGGUACCGGAAGAAUAAGCACCGGCUAACUACGUGCCAGCAGCCGCGGUAAUACGUAGGGUGCAAGCGUUAAUCGGAAUUACUGGGCGUAAAGCGUGCGCAGGCGGUUUGCUAAGACCGAUGUAAAAUCCCCGGGCUCAACCUGGGAACUGCAUUGGUGACUGGCAGGCUAGAGUAUGGCAGAGGGGGGUAGAAUUCCACGUGUAGCAGUGAAAUGCGUAGAGAUGUGGAGGAAUACCGAUGGCGAAGGCAGCCCCCUGGGCCAAUACUGACGCUCAUGCACGAAAGCGUGGGGAGCAAACAGGAUUAGAUACCCUGGUAGUCCACGCCCUAAACGAUGUCAACUAGUUGUUGGGGAUUCAUUUCCUUAGUAACGUAGCUAACGCGUGAAGUUGACCGCCUGGGGAGUACGGUCGCAAGAUUAAAACUCAAAUGAAUUGACGGGGUCAUAGCUGUUUCCU